AGAGUUUGAUCCUGGCUCAGGACGAACGCUGGCGGCGUGCCUAAUACAUGCAAGUCGAGCGGACGAAUCGAAAGCUUGCUUUUGAUUCGUUAGCGGCGGACGGGUGAGUAACACGUGGGCAACCUGCCCUGUAGACGGGGAUAACACCGAGAAAUCGGUGCUAAUACCGGAUAACACGAAAUGUCGCAUGACGUUUCGUUGAAAGACGGCGCAAGCUGUCGCUACAGGAUGGGCCCGCGGCGCAUUAGCUAGUUGGUGAGGUAACGGCUCACCAAGGCGACGAUGCGUAGCCGACCUGAGAGGGUGAUCGGCCACACUGGGACUGAGACACGGCCCAGACUCCUACGGGAGGCAGCAGUAGGGAAUCUUCCGCAAUAGACGAAAGUCUGACGGAGCAACGCCGCGUGAGCGAAGAAGGCCUUCGGGUCGUAAAGCUCUGUUGUUAGGGAAGAACAAGUAACGCAGUAACUGGCGUUACCGUGACGGUACCUAACGAGAAAGCCACGGCUAACUACGUGCCAGCAGCCCGCGGGUAAUACGUAGGUGGCAAGCGUUGUCCGGAAUUAUUGGGCGUAAAAGCGCGCGCAGGCGGGUUCCCUUAAGUCUGAUGUGAAAAGCCCACGGUUCAACCGUGGAGGGGUCAUUGGAAACUGGGGGGACUUUGAGUGCAGAAGAGGAGAGCGGAAUUCCACGUGUAGCGGUUGAAAUGCGUAGAAGAUGUGGGAGGAACACCAGUGGCGAAGGCGGGUUCUUCUGGUC
rnacentral:rRNA from 1 species